GAUAAACCCCGAGCGGGAUUCUAUAACACAGUGGUGCCGUGACGAACUGCGAGCUCAAUGGAGGCGGAAUGGUGAGCCCGAACGUGGCGGCGCCGGUGAGGUUCCCUUCGCGCUUUGAUCUAAGUUAUACUAACGCUCCCUCGUUUACACCCAAAAGAGCCACGACAAUGGCUUCAGGGGAGCAAAAAGCACCACCCCAAACCCAAAGGUUGCAAAUUUAUCCCAAUACAAAUUCUGGGGUCUCUCCUUUCUGGAGAGAGAAGUAUGAAAGAGAAGCCAAGAGGUAUUGGGAUGUUUUCUACAAGCUCCACAAGGACAGAUUUUUUAAAGAUCGGCACUACUUGGAUAAGGAAUGGGGCGAAUACUUUUCUGGGGGAGGAAGAAAAGUGUUUUUGGAGGUUGGCUGUGGAGCUGGAAAUACUAUCUUUCCUGUCAUAGCAUCAAAUCCAGAUGCUUUUGUUUAUGCGUGUGAUUUCUCACCAUGAGCUAUUGAGUUGGUUAAGUCACAUGAAGACUUCAAGGAAUCCCAUGUUAGUGCUUUUGUCUCGGAUUUGACAGCUGAUGAUCUGUGCAAUGAGAUUCUUCCAUCUUCAGUUGAUAUUGUUACAAUGAUAUUUAUGUUGUCUACAGUGUCCCCAGAAAAGAUGCCUCUAGUUUUGCAAAAUAUUAGAAAAGUUAUCAAGCCAAAUGGAUAUGUGUUGUUCCGAGACUAUGCUACUGGAGACCUUGCUCAGGAAAGGUUCUCUGGCAAGGAUCAAAAGAUUAGUGAUAACUUUUAUGUUAGAGGUGAUGGCACUCGUGCUUACUAUUUUUCAAAUGAGUUCUUGAAAAAUUUAUUCAAAGAAAAUGGUUUUGAUGUUGACAAACUUCGUGUAUACUGCAAACAAGUUGAGAAUCGCUCAAGGGAGUUGAUAAUGAAUCGGCGUUGGGUCCAAGCUGUAUUUCGCGUAUCAGAUAGUUCCAACUCUUCUUCAUGCAUAGAAGCUGAGGCCAAUCAUCUUGACAAUGAUAAUGCCAAUAUGGAAAUCAAGCAAAAUAGUUUGAAUGGUGGUUUAAAUGAUUCUGCAGUUGACUUGUCUGAGGGUGUGGCAGUUGACAUGUUUGGAGUCUUACCUUCCAACGAAUAUGAGAUUAUUGAGAUCAACCUUAGAAGCUGGAAUUUCAAGAUUAGUUUACUUUCAAAAGAGUACCAGCAUACCUGCAAGUCAACAGGUUUGAUGCUGUGGGAAUCAGCUCGGUUGAUGGCUUCUGUCCUUGCAGAAAAUCCCAACAUUGUUGCUGGAAAAAGGGUCUUGGAGUUGGGGUGCGGCAGCGGGGGAAUCUGCUCCAUGAUUGCUGUUAGAGAUGCUGAUCUAGUAGUUGCAACUGAUGGAGAUGGCUUUGCACUUGAUCUCCUGACCAAAAAUGUUGCAUCCAACAUUGAGCCAUCAUUACUGACUAAACUCACCACAAAAAAACUGGAGUGGGGAAACAAGGAACACAUUGAAUGCAUAAAGGAAGUAGUGAGCAAUAGAGGGUUUGAUGUCAUCAUUGGCACAGACAUGACAUAUAUUCCUGAUGCUAUAUUGCCAUUGUUUGCAACUGCUAAAGAACUGAUUGCUCCCAGAGGAAGCAAGGAAGAUGAUAAUGUCCCCAGACUUAUUCUUUGCCACAUCUUUCGCCGAGUAGAUGAACCAACCUUACUUUCGGCCGCAGUGCAUUUCGGGUUUAGAUUAGUAGACAAGUGGCCUGCUGGUACUUCAAGUAAUUUGUCUCAAAGCAUUAUUGACAAUUGGUUUGUUGACAAUGAUUUAAAGGAUGAUCUUCCUAGUACAGCAUUAAACAUCUUGCUCUUCUGCAAGGAGUGAUAUUGAGUUUAGUAUUCUAGCUUGAUUUCAAGUUGGUUUCUUGAUUCUUCUCUUCAUUACAAUUAAAUGUGGGAAGUAGAAUGUAAUUUCCUUGUUGAUUCAUUUUAAGUACUUGAAAAUCCGUUUGGGCUCAUAUUUUUGUAAGUUUUGAUGGAGAGAGUUCUAUUUUAUUUUAUUUUUUUUUAUAAAUGUUAUUGCUUUGCUCCCCCACUUGGGGGCCUUAGAGAUGGACACAUGGUAGUUAUGCACCCUGGCAUCAUUUGCUUGGAAAUGCAAAAGGACCACUUUCUGUGUUUUUGUUUAGUAA